rnacentral:rRNA from 1 species
AUUGAACGCUGGCGGCAUGCCUUACACAUGCAAGUCGAACGGCAGCAUGAUCUAGCUUGCUCGAUUGAUGGCGAGUGGCGAACGGGUGAGUAAUACAUCGGAACGUGCCCUGUAGUGGGGGAUAACUAGUCGAAAGAUUAGCUAAUACCGCAUACGACCUGAGGGUGAAAGUGGGGGACCGCAAGGCCUCAUGCUAUAGGAGCGGCCGAUGUCUGAUUAGCUAGUUGGUGAGGUAAAGGCUCACCAAGGCGACGAUCAGUAGCUGGUCUGAGAGGACGAUCAGCCACACUGGGACUGAGACACGGCCCAGACUCCUACGGGAGGCAGCAGUGGGGAAUUUUGGACAAUGGGCGAAAGCCUGAUCCAGCAAUGCCGCGUGUGUGAAGAAGGCCUUCGGGUUGUAAAGCACUUUUGUCCGGAAAGAAGUGGCUCUGGUUAAUACCUGGGGUCGAUGACGGUACCGGUAGAAUAAGGACCGGCUAACUACGUG